UACGUAGGGCGCAAGCGUUGUCCGGAAUUAUUGGGCGUAAAGAGCUCGUAGGCGGUCUGUCGCGUCUGCUGUGAAAACCCGAGGCUCAACCUCGGGCCUGCAGUGGGUACGGGCAGACUAGAGUGUGGUAGGGGGAGACUGGAAUUCCUGGUGUAGCGGUGGAAUGCGCAGAUAUCAGGAGGAACACCAAUGGCGAAGGCAGGUCUCUGGGCCACAACUGACGCUGGAGGAGCGAAAGCGUGGGGAGCAAACAGG
rnacentral:rRNA from 1 species